CCUACGGGCGGCAGCAGUGAGGAAUAUUGGUCAAUGGGCUUACGCCUGAACCAGCCAAGUCGCGUGAGGGAAGACUGCCCUAUGGGUUGUAAACCUCUUUUGUCAGGGAGCAACGCCUGCUACGUGUAGCCGGACUGAGAGUACCUGAAGAAAAAGCAUCGGCUAACCCCGUGCCAGCAGCCGCGGUAAUACGGAGGAUGCGAGCGUUAUCCGGAUUUAUUGGGUGUAAAGGGUGCGUAGGCGGCAUGCCAAGUCAGCGGUAAAAUCGCGGGGCUCAACCUCGCUCCGCCGUUGAAACUGGCGGUCUUGAGUGGGCGAGAAGUAUGCGGAAUGCGUGGUGUAGCGGUGAAAUGCAUAGAUAUCGCGCAGAACUACGAUUGCGAAGGCAGCAUACCGGCGCCCAACUGACGCUGAAGCACGAAAGCGUGGGUAUCGAACAGGAUUAGAUACCCCGGUAGUC
rnacentral:rRNA from 1 species